GUGUGUUGGGGUAUCCAGGACUGGCUGAGGUGGGAGUGCUGGGUUCUGAUGAUGGGAAGGUGCACAGAUAUCUGGAGUUCAGAACUGCCUCCUGGUUGAAGAUGAAUGCCAGAAACAGUACCUGUCCCAGAAGACGUGUUGCCUCUGCAGUCUGCAUGCUCACCUGCACAGACUGGUCUCCGAGGGACCCGGGACACAAGAUGGCUCUCUCACCUGCUCUGGUGGUCAGAGUCCUCCAGGGUGGACACCUCUCCUCUGGCGGGGAAGGUGCCCAGGUGUCUGGAGCCUGAAAUAUGGUCUGUUCCAGAAGCUGUGUUGCUUCUGUCUGUCCCAGAAGCUGUGUUGCUUCUGCAGUCUGCACUCUUACCUGCGCAGAUUGGUCUCUGAGGGACCCGGGACCCAAGAUCUUGAGGUUGUAUCUUACAUAUAUUUAUGGGUCUUAUUGAUAGUUUUAUUGCAGUUCUUGGGGAUUUAGUCUAGGGCCUUGUGUAUUUUAGCCAACUGUUCUACAACCAACUAACACCCCAAGUCCUAGCUUUGUUUGUUUGUUUGUUUUUUUAUACAUCUAUUCAGCCACUAUAUGUUUUGUGUUCCAUGCAUGGAUGCAUGCCUCCAUCCCUGUCCCCCUUCCCCUCCCCCACUUUUUUCUCUGUGUGUACCUCAUAACCCAGGGUUUCCUUCAUGCUAAGCAGGCACUUAGCUACAUGGUAAGUAGGCACCGAACUAUAUCUCCAACCUCUGGUUGGGUAAUUUAUAUUUAUAUUCAGAAUAAUUAUCGAGAGGGAAGACCUCCCACUAUUUUGUUUAAAUCUUUCUAGAUGUUUUGUAGUUUCUUUCAUUAUCUCCCUCAUUUCCUUCCUUCCUUCCUUUCUCUUGUCUUUUUUUUUUUUUUUUUUUUUUUUUUGGUGAUAAGGUGAUCUUCUCUAUCACUAUGCUGCAAUUUUUUUUCGUAUCUUUUGUGUACCUACUAUAGGUUUUGACUUUGUGUUUAUCAUGAAGCUUUCUCUAAAACAUCUUGUAGUUAUAACAGGUUAUAAUAAAUUAAUAAGUUAUCUGAUUGCACAAAAACUUCUAGAUUUUUACUUUUAUAUUUUUUGCUCCUGUUUUAUUUUAUUUUAUUUUUUAAUGUUACAGUGUAAAUUUUGGCAUUGUAUAAUUUUAACACAUUCUUGUGGAUAUUAUUUUUAAUAGUAUACUGUCAUUAUUUUACUGCAAUCACUCAUGUUAAUGUGAUGACAAGCAUCUACAAUUCUAGUAUUUCUAUCUAGAGGUUGGAAAGAUGGAAAGAGGAGAAACUUGUGGUACGGUUAUCCCCAGCACACAUUGCAGUGGCAGAAACAAUAUGAGAGACUUGUCUCAGGAAGGUAGAAAGAGAGAACUAACUUCCAAAACUUGUCCUUUUACUGCCACACUUAGGUCAUAGAACCCAUGUGCAUCAUAAUAAUUGUGAAGUCAAAACUUAUAUUAGAUACAUAAAGGAUAAGAAAUAAGGAAUUAAAUCAUACUAAUAGAUAAGAUCACCUUAUCACACACAUACAAAAAAAUGACAACAACAAAGGAAGAAAAAGAGUGAGGAGGGGUCAAGGAAGAGACUACCAAAAACCCCACAAAACAUUUAACAGAAUAGUGGUGGGAGGUCCUUCCAUUUCAGUAAUUAUACUGAAUGUAAAUAUAAAUUACCCAACCAGAGACUGGGGAUGUGGUUUAGUGCCUACUUAGCAUGUAGUUAAAUAAGUGUGUGUGUGUAAUAAAAAAUAACUGGAAAAAUAUGAUUAAAGCCCUCAAUGUAACAGCUUUGCUGUAAUAAGAGCCCUUCUAUCGCUUACCACUCCAAGCCUCACCCUUGUCAAAGAAAUGUGCAUGUCCAGGUCAGUGGGGAUUGUAUUUUUAACAUUUCCCAAUAUAGCCUCUAGUCAGCCAAGCUCUGAUCUGGGCAGUGUAUGUGUUAUUCCCAGGUAACAAUUAGCUUUUUUUACUGAGUGGUCUACCUAAAAUGUUUUGUUUUCAGUAUAUAUAUAUAUAUAUAUAUAUAUACAUAUAUAUAUAUAUAUAUGAUGGAAAUAGUAUAUGAUUAUAUUUACAACUACUGAGGAAUGGAAUUUCAACAUAGCAUUAUGGCAACACAGUUUAACCCUUAAUAGUUGUUGUAUGAUUUGUAGAUUGUUGAGGAAGACAUGCAUUACAUUGUAAUAUUACAGUGGCUUAGAUGAGAAAUAUAUCUCAGAGGCACAAAUAUUUGAUCACUUGGUUCUUUGUUGGUGUCAUUGUUUGGGGAACUUAUGUAUCUUUUACGUCCUGUAGCUUUGCUAUACUGCUCCAGUCACAUGCUGCCAUGCUUAACCACCACGAUGGACUUAACUCUUUGAAGGAACCAUAAACCAAAAUAAACUCUUCCAUAAGUUGCUUUUUUAAUAGUGUUUUUCACAGCAACAGGAAAGUAGCUAAUACAAAUAUAUAGCAGAACAGUAUUCCAUUUCCUUUCAUAUUUCUAUGGAUGUGUGCUUCUACAAUCUUAGAAGAUAUCUGACUGAGUACGGUAGAAACUGCCACUGCUUCCUAAGUGCUGGGAUUACUCAAAGAUGUUUUGCCUAUGUUUUCUUCUAGCAGUUUUAGUAUUUCAGGUUUCACUUUUAGGUCUUUAAUACAUGACUGCCUAAACAUGAUCUGAUCAAAGGCAAUAACAGUAGACAUGCUAACACGGUUGGGGGAAAGUUCAUGAGACCCCAAUUCCAGACAAAGAACUACAGACAGAAAGGAAUUCUGAGAGUAGAAGUGUCUUAGACAGGGUUUCUAUUCCUGGACAAAACAUCAUGACCAAGAAGCAAGUUGGGGGGUGGGGAAGCGUUUAUUUAGCUUACACUUCCAUACUGCAAGGAAGUCAGGACUGGAACUCAAGCAGGUCAGAAAGCAGAAGCUGAUGCAGAGGCCAUGGAGGGAUGUUACUUACUGGCUUGCUUCCCCUGGCUUGCUCAGCCUGCUCUCUUAUAGAACCAAGACUACCAGCCCAGAGAUGGCACCACCCACAAGGACCCUUCCCCCUUGAUCACUAAUUGAGAAAAUGCCUUACAGUUGGAUCUCAUGGAGGCAUUUCCCCAACUGAAGCUCCUUUCUCUGUGAUAACUCCAGCCUGUGUCAAGAUGACACAAAACUAGCCAGUACAGGAAGAGAUGGUCUUCCCGUGGAUGAGCAUACCAGUUAGAUUAUCCAAUAUAAAUGGUCAGCCCUGAAAACAUAUACAAGUACCAUUAUACAGACUGAGUAGGUUGUAUUUAUGUAUUUAUUCCAUCAAAUUGAAAGAGAGCAAACAGGGAAGUACAUGGGGAUGAUUUUAGGGAGUGAUGAGAAGGGGAAAUGAUGUGAUUUAUAAUCUCAAAAAAUAAAAUUGUUUUUUAUUCUGCA